rnacentral:rRNA from 1 species
UGACUGGGGCGGUCGCCUCCUAAAUCGUAACGGAGGCGCGCGAAGGUUGGCUCAGAGCGGUCGGACAUCGCUCGUUGAGUGCAAUGGCAGAAGCCAGCCUGACUGCAAGACUGACAAGUCGAGCAGAGUCGAAAGACGGCCAUAGUGAUCCGGUGGUCCCAAGUGGGAGGGCCAUCGCUCAACGGAUAAAAGGUACUCCGGGGAUAACAGGCUGAUGAUGCCCAAGAGUCCAUAUCGACGGCAUCGUUUGGCACCUCGAUGUCGGCUCAUCACAUCCUGGGGCUGAAGCCGGUCCCAAGGGUAUGGCUGUUCGCCAUUUAAAGUGGUACGCGAGCUGGGUUUAGAACGUCGUGAGACAGUUCGGUCCCUAUCUGUUGUGGGCGUUUGAAGUUUGAGAGGACCCGCCUCUAGUACGAGAGGACCGGGGUGGACAUACCUCUGGUGUAUCUGUUGUGGCGCCAGCUGCAUCGCAGAGUAGCUACGUAUGGAUGAGAUAAGCGCUGAAAGCAUCUAAGCACGAAACUCGCCUCAAGAUGAGACUUCAUUGAGAACCGUCAUAGACGAUGACGUUGAUAGGUUGCAGGUGUAAAGGCAGUGAUGUCAAAGCCGAGCAAUACUAAUGAUUCGAAAGCU